GAUGAACGCUGGCGGCGUGCCUAAUACAUGCAAGUCGAGCGAACAGACGAGGAGCUUGCUCCUCUGACGUUAGCGGCGGACGGGUGAGUAACACGUGGAUAACCUACCUAUAAGACUGGGAUAACUUCGGGAAACCGGAGCUAAUACCGGAUAAUAUAUUGAACCGCAUGGUUCAAUAGUGAAAGACGGUUUUGCUGUCACUUAUAGAUGGAUCCGCGCCGCAUUAGCUAGUUGGUAAGGUAACGGCUUACCAAGGCAACGAUGCGUAGCCGACCUAGGAGGUGAGCGGCCCCCCCUGAACUUGGACACCGUCCAAACCCCUUACGGAGGCCGCAGGAGGGAAUCUUCCGCAAUGGGCGAAAGCCUGACGGAGCAACGCCGCGUGAGUGAUGAAGGUCUUCGGAUCGUAAAACUCUGUUAUUAGGGAAGAACAAAUGUGUAAGUAACUAUGCACGUCUUGACGGUACCUAAUCAGAAAGCCACGGCUAACUACGUG
rnacentral:rRNA from 1 species